rnacentral:rRNA from 1 species
UACGUAGGGGGCAAGCGUUGUCCGGAUUUAUUGGGCGUAAAGAGCGUGUAGGCGGCCAGACAGGUCCGUUGUGAAAACUGGAGGCUCAACCUCCAGACGCGUGGAAACCGUCUGGCUAGAGUCCGGAAGAGGAGAGUGGAAUUCCUGGUGUAGCGGUGAAAUGCGCAGAUAUCAGGAAGAACACCCGUGGCGAAAGCGGCUCUCUGGGACGGUACUGA